rnacentral:antisense_RNA from 1 species
UUUGAGCGAGCCGAGCCACAGCGGGUGUUCCCGGUCCUGGCCGUAGGUGGCGAUGAUCGCCUCGGCCUC